AGCAUGGAUGAUAAAUGAGUGACCAUGGAAGAAUAGAUGGCUAGCUACAACUUCCAUGGUGCCCGGCCUUUCUAGAGAGAAAUGGAGAGACAUGUUCUCUCCAAUCUUCUCCAAAACAAAACCCUUUUUGAAUAAAAGGCUAUAAAGUCAUAUUUAUACCUUUAUUCAUUUGAGUGGCAAACUUGUAAUUAAAGCAAGUUC
rnacentral:lncRNA from 1 species